rnacentral:rRNA from 1 species
UACGUAGGGGGCUAGCGUUGUCCGGAAUCAUUGGGCGUAAAGAGCGUGUAGGCGGCCCGGUAAGUCCGCUGUGAAAGUCGGGGGCUCAACCCUCGGAUGCCGGUGGAUACUGUCGGGCUCGAGUACGGAAGAGGCGAGUGGAAUUCCUGGUGUAGCGGUGAAAUGCGCAGAUAUCAGGAGGAACACCUAUUGCGAAGGCAGACUCGCUGGGACGUUACUGACGCUGAGGCGCGAAAGCCAGGGGAGCGAACGGG